UACGGGGGGGGCAAGCGUUGUUCGGAAUUACUGGGCGUAAAGGGCUCGUAGGUGGCCAACUAAGUCAGACGUGAAAUCCCUCGGCUUAACCGGGGAACUGCGUCUGAUACUGGAUGGCUUGAGUUCGGGAGAGGGAUGCGGAAUUCCAGGUGUAGCGGUGAAAUGCGUAGAUAUCUGGAGGAACACCGGUGGCGAAGGCGGCAUCCUGGACCGACGACUGACGCUGAGGAGCGAAAAGCCAGGGGAGCAAAGCGGG
rnacentral:rRNA from 1 species